rnacentral:rRNA from 1 species
GAUGAACGCUGGCGGCGUGCCUAACACAUGCAAGUCGAGCGCCGACGGAUGGUACUCGUACCCACUGGAUGAGCAGCGAACGGGUGAGUAACGCGUGCGGAAUCUGCCUUUGAGCGGGGGACAACAUCUGGAAACGAAUGCUAAUACCGCAUAAAAACUUUAAACACAAGUUUUAAGUUUGAUAGAUGCAUUUGCCUCAUUCAUAGAUGAUUCCGCGGUGUAUUAGCUAGGUGGUGAGGUAAAGGCCCACCAAAGCGAAGAUACAUAGCCGAGCUGAGUGGGUUGUCGGCCACAAUUGGACUGGGGCACGGCCCAAGAUCCUUCGGGGAGGAGCAAGAGGGGAACUUCGGCAAAGGACGGAAGUCUGGCCGAACAACGCCGGGUUGGUGAAGGAAGGUUUCGGAUCGGAAAACUCUGUUUGUAGGGAAAGACGUUGAUGAGAGUGAAAAGCUGAUCAAGUGACGGUAACUACACAAUAAGAAACGGCUAACUACGUG